AUCGUAGUUUGGAUUAGCAACCCAAACAUAUAGCCGCUUUGGUAGAAUAGAAUGUAGCUGGAGUACAGGAAAACCGACCCAUAAGUCUAUUCGUAAAUCCCACAG
rnacentral:ncRNA from 1 species